GCUGAUCCUGCUGGAGGGUACUGCUAUCGGAAUUCCACUAAGACAUGCAAGUCAAAUUACUCGCAGAAGUAAUUGGCGUACGGCUCAGUAACACGUAGCUAAUCUACCUUUAGGAUGGGUCAAACCCGGGAAACUGGGGGCAAUUCCCAAUAAGUGAAAAAAUCUGGAAUGAUUUUUCGCUGAAACGAGACACGCUAUUGUGCGUGAAUCGCCUUAAGAUGAGGCUGCGGCUGAUUAGGUUGUUGGCGGGGUAAUGGCCCACCAAGCCGAAGAUCAGUACGGGCCUUGGGAGAAGGAGCCCGGAGAAGGACACUGAGAUGAGGGUCCUAGCCCUACGGGGUGCAGCAGUUAGGAAACCUUUACAAUGCGCGAAAGCGUGAUAGGGGAAUUCCGAGUGCCAAUAUUUAUAUUGGCUUUUGCCAAGUCAAAACAGCUUGGAGAAUAAAGGGAGGGCAAGAUACGUGCCAGCCGCCGCGGUAAUACGUACUCCCUUAGUGGUAUCCGUGAAUAUUGGGCCUAAAGCGUCUGUAGCCGGCUUGAAAAGUCCUUGGUGAAAUCCGCGUGCUUAACGCGUGGAAUGGCUUAGGAUACUUUCAGGCUCGAGGACGGGAGAGGUUGACGGAAUUUCUAGGGUAGCAGUGAAAUGCGAUAAUCCUAGAAGGACCACCAGUAGCGAAGGCGGUCAACCAGAACGUGCCUGACGGUGAGAGACGAAAGCUAGGGGAGCGACCCGGAUUAGAUACCCGGUUAGUCCUAGCCGUAAACGAUGCAGACUAGGUGUACUAAAACCUAAGUGGUUAUGGUGUGCCGACGCGAAGGCAUUAAGUCUGCCGCCUGGGAAGUACGAUCGCAAGGUUGAAACUUAAGGGAAUUGGCGGGGGCGCAUACCAGGGGUGGAUGCUGUGGUUUAAUCGAACGAAACGCCAGAAAACUCACCAGGGCCGACAGCAGAAUGAUGGACAGUCUGAAGGGCUUUCCUGACACGCUGAGAGGUAUUGUAUGGUCAUCGUCAGCUCGUACUAUGAAGCGUCCUGUCAACUCAGGCAACGGGCGAGACCCACAUUCUUAGUUGCUAGCCGUUUUUCCAAAAGCGGUGCACUCUAGGAAGACUGCCGAAGCGAUUUGGAGGAAGGAGUGGUCGACGGUAGAUCGGUAUGGUCCGAAUGCCCUUGGGCUACACGCGGCAUACAAUGGUUGCAACAAUGAGUUCCGACUCCGCGAGGAGAAGGUAAUCCCCGAAAUGCAACCUUAGUUUGGAUUGUGGGUUGAAACUCACCCACAUGAAAAUGGAAUCCCAAGUAAUCGCGCGUCAUCAUCGCGCGGUGAAAACGUCCCUGCGCCUUGCACACACCGCCCAUCAAGCCAGCCGAGUGAAGCUGAGAUGAAGCGCUUUCCUUCGGAAGGUGCUGAUUCUUUGUUUUGCAAGGGGGGC
rnacentral:rRNA from 1 species